AGCGUAGGCGGUUUUGCAAGUCAGAAGUGAAAGGCUACGGCUCAACCGUAGUAAGCUUUUGAAACUGCAAGACUAGAGUGCAGGAGAGGCAAGUGGAAUUCCUAGUGUAGAGGUGAAAUUCGUAGAUAUUAGGAGGAACACCAGUGGCGAAGGCGACUUGCUAGACUGUAACUGACGCUGAGGCUCGAAAGCGUGGGGAGCGAACA
rnacentral:rRNA from 1 species